UAGAAGUGCAAUUGUCCACAAUUCAAGAGCAAUUGUUUAAAAUUCAAGAGUUAUCUUCUAAAAUAGAUUUUCUUACGGACCAAAUUAGGGGUAUCAAAGAGAUGAUUCAGCAACAACACAUGGAUUCGAUUCAACCGGUGAAUCUACAAUCGAUUGGUGGACCCUCAGUUGGGAAUCAUCAAUGUGUAGAGAGAAUGCGACCAUGCAAGUUGUACUCUUGGCGUAAAGAACUUGUUGCUCAAGGGCCAGUUAUUUUGGCAGAUGGGCCCCAAAUGAUUCAUGGCAAGCCUCUUUAGGAAGAUCUUUACAAGGUUGCCAUUGAUAUCAUUAUCAAAGGAGACGUCGAAUUGCCCGAGCCAGACGGAUAUCAUUCGACUUUAGGCGAAGUUGGAAUUGGCUCAUUUGUUGCAUGGCAUCAUUGCUUUACUAAGUUCACCGAUUAGUGACAAUAGUCUAAUACUUUUUUGGACACUUAACCUUUUUGGACUGUAUAUAUGUUUUGAUUGUAUAGCUUACUUGAUUAGUUGUUUCUAUAAACUGGACAUGAUAGAUGUAAUGCAGGUUUGUGACAAAUGUGUUGAUGGCUUCGAUCAUCACUGCAUGGUAUCUGUAUAGGAGAGAUUUGCUUCUUGCAUCAGAGAUCAACAUCAUGAAUGAUUAUAUGCUGUCAGGUUUGUCAAUUCAAGAGUUCAAUAUCAUGUUGUUUAUCUAUUGAUCGUUUGGCCUGAAACAUCAAAUUGCUUGAUG